rnacentral:rRNA from 1 species
AUAUUGCACAAUGGGGGAAACCCUGAUGCAGCAACGCCGCGUGAGCGAUGAAGGCCUUCGGGUUGUAAAGCUCUGUCUUCGGGGACGAUAAUGACGGUACCCGAGGAGGAAGCCACGGCUAACUACGUGCCAGCAGCCGCGGUAAUACGUAGGUGGCACGCGUUGUCCGGAAUUAUUGGGUGUAAAGCGCGUGCAGGCGGAUUGGAGAGUUGGAUGUGAAAGCUCCCGGCUUAACUGGGAGAGGUCGAUCAAUACUACUGGACUUGAGAGUGGUAGAGGGAGGUGGAAUUCCGGGUGUAGUGGUGAAAUGCGGAGAUAUCCGGAGGAACACCAGUGGCGAAAGCGGCCUCCUGGACCACUUCUGACGCUCAGACGCGAAAGCUAGGGUAGCGAACG